GUGCCAGCAGCCGCGGUAAUACGUAGGAGGCAAACGUUGUCCGGAUUUACUGGGUGUAAAGGGUGCUCAGGCGGUCUUGUAAGUUAGAAGUGAAAUCCCGGAGCUUAACUCCGGAACUGCUUUUAAUACUGCAAGGCUUGAGUGCAGAAGAGGCGGAUGGAAUUUCUGGUGUAGCAGUGAAAUGCGUAGAUAUCAGAAAGAACACCAGUGGCGAAGGCGGUCCGCUGGUCUGUCACUGACGCUAAAGCACGAAAGCGUGGGGAGCAAACAGGAUUAGAUACCCCUGUAGUCC
rnacentral:rRNA from 1 species